CGAGUUAUCUGAACCUUCGGGGAACGAUAACGGCGUCGAGCGGCGGACGGGUGAGUAAUGCCUAGGAAAUUGCCCUGAUGUGGGGGAUAACCAUUGGAAACGAUGGCUAAUACCGCAUAAUGCCUACGGGCCAAAGAGGGGGACCUUCGGGCCUCUCGCGUCAGGAUAUGCCUAGGUGGGAUUAGCUAGUUGGUGAGGUAAUGGCUCACCAAGGCGACGAUCCCUAGCUGGUCUGAGAGGAUGAUCAGCCACACUGGAACUGAGACACGGUCCAGACUCCUACGGGAGGCAGCAGUGGGGAAUAUUGCACAAUGGGCGCAAGCCUGAUGCAGCCAUGCCGCGUGUGUGAAGAAGGCCUUCGGGUUGUAAAGCACUUUCAGUCGUGAGGAAGGUGGUGUAGUUAAUAGCUGCAUUAUUUGACGUUAGCGACAGAAGAAGCACCGGCUAACUCCGUGCCAGCAGCCGCGGUAAUACGGAGGGUGCGAGCGUUAAUCGGAAUUACUGGGCGUAAAGCGCAUGCAGGUGGUUUGUUAAGUCAGAUGUGAAAGCCCGGGGCUCAACCUCGGAAUAGCAUUUGAAACUGGCAGACUAGAGUACUGUAGAGGGGGGUAGAAUUUCAGGUGUAGCGGUGAAAUGCGUAGAGAUCUGAAGGAAUACCGGUGGCGAAGGCGGCCCCCUGGACAGAUACUGACACUCAGAUGCGAAAGCGUGGGGAGCAAACAGGAUUAGAUACCCUGGUAGUCCACGCCGUAAACGAUGUCUACUUGGAGGUUGUGGCCUUGAGCCGUGGCUUUCGGAGCUAACGCGUUAAGUAGACCGCCUGGGGAGUACGGUCGCAAGAUUAAAACUCAAAUGAAUUGACGGGGGCCCGCACAAGCGGUGGAGCAUGUGGUUUAAUUCGAUGCAACGCGAAGAACCUUACCUACUCUUGACAUCCAGAGAACUUUUCAGAGAUGGAUUGGUGCCUUCGGGAACUCUGAGACAGGUGCUGCAUGGCUGUCGUCAGCUCGUGUUGUGAAAUGUUGGGUUAAGUCCCGCAACGAGCGCAACCCUUAUCCUUGUUUGCCAGCGAGUAAUGUCGGGAACUCCAGGGAGACUGCCGGUGAUAAACCGGAGGAAGGUGGGGACGACGUCAAGUCAUCAUGGCCCUUACGAGUAGGGCUACACACGUGCUACAAUGGCGCAUACAGAGGGCAGCAAGCUAGCGAUAGUGAGCGAAUCCCAAAAAGUGCGUCGUAGUCCGGAUUGGAGUCUGCAACUCGACUCCAUGAAGUCGGAAUCGCUAGUAAUCGUGGAUCAGAAUGCCACGGUGAAUACGUUCCCGGGCCUUGUACACACCGCCCGUCACACCAUGGGAGUGGGCUGCAAAAGAAGUAGGUAGUUUA
rnacentral:rRNA from 1 species